UCAGAUUUCCAAGUCUCUUCUGGUGUGCUGAGGUAUAUUUCAAUGUCUUCUCUCCGCUGAGGAUGACAGGGAGGACUCACGUAGCCACAUUGGCAAUGUUCUUUCAGAAGCACUAUUUGGGAACCUUGGAGCCUCUGGAAGAUGAACACCAUACCAUCCACAAUGUCAGGAUGAAAGUAGCUUCACUUCCCUGGGGUUCACGCCGUGGACAGUGCAACCUUCAGAUGCAAGGCUGAGCAUGAUUCAUUUAAAUCCCACCUGGAACUAUUCAAACAGCAAAGGACAACCCAGACCCCUGAGAGGAGAAGGUGAUCAAGCAGCACCGGUGACAGCAUUCAGCUGAUAAAUCUCUUGACCCUGGAAAAAAUUCAUGGAACUUGGUAAAUUUGUUUCAACUUUUCUCUCUUCAUGUUGGGAACCCAUGACAUAGGAUGUGUCAGUCAAAGCAUUUCUUCCCCUGGCUACAUUGAUUAGUUCAUAAGCACACCAGGCUCUAAGAAGGAAUGAAUCUCAGGACUCUUGCUUGGAGUGCUGGGAUAAAGGCCCUCCCUCUUUUUCAAGAUGAAAUAUGCAAAGUGAAGUAUGCAGAUAGCAGGACCAGAACUUCUGCAGCCAUUUUGGCACCAAGAGGGUGGCUUUGUCCCAGGACAAAGCUGACACAUGAAAGAGUCCAAAGGCCAGAGGCAUGCUGAGAAAUUUGUAGAGAUAUUCAUGUUGAACAUUGAACCUCUGGGUACAGCUGUAGCUAAAGCUGAAACUAUUGCUGGCCUUUUCACUUUGGUGGAACCAUACAUUUUAAAAAUGGUUAUGACAGUUAGGGUUGGGUUUUAUGUUAACUUAAAAUUGAAAAUAU
rnacentral:lncRNA from 1 species